AGCUCCAAUAGCGUAUAUUUUAGUUGUUGCAGUUAAAAAGCUCGUAGUCGAAUUUCUGGUGGGAGAAUGCGGUCCGACCUCUAGGUGGGUACUUGCACUCUCCGGCCAUCCUUGGGCGGAGCUAGUCUGGCAUUAAGUUGUCGGAUUAGGGAUGCUCAUCGUUUACUGUGAAAAAAUUAGAGUGUUCAAAGCAGACUUAUGUCGUUGAAUAUAUUAGCAUGGAAUAAUAAUAUAGGACUACGUUUCUAUUUUGUUGGUUUGCGUAACGUAGUAAUGAUGAACAGGGACAGUUGUGGCCAUUUGUAUUCACAUGUAAGGGGUGAAAUCCUUAGAUUAUGUGAAGACAAACUACUGCGAAAGCAUUUGGCAAGGAUGUUUUCA
rnacentral:rRNA from 1 species